rnacentral:rRNA from 1 species
AGUGGGGGACAACGUUUCGAAAGGAACGCUAAUACCGCAUACGUCCUACGGGAGAAAGCAGGGGACCUUCGGGCCUUGCGCUAUCAGAUGAGCCUAGGUCGGAUUAGCUUGUUGGUGAGGUAAUGGCUCACCAAGGCGACGAUCCGUAACUGGUCUGAGAGGAUGAUCAGUCACACUGGAACUGAGACACGGUCCAGACUCCUACGGGAGGCAGCAGUGGGGAAUAUUGGACAAUGGGCGAAAGCCUGAUCCAGCCAUGCCGCGUGUGUGAAGAAGGUCUUCGGAUUGUAAAGCACUUUAAGUUGGGAGGAAGGGUUGUAGAUUAAUACUCUGCAAUUUUGACGUUACCGACAGAAUAAGCACCGGCUAACUCUGUGCCAGCAGCCGCGGUAAUACAGAGGGUGCAAGCGUUAAUCGGAAUUACUGGGCGUAAAGCGCGCGUAGGUGGUUUGUUAAGUUGGAUGUGAAAGCCCCGGGCUCAACCUGGGAACUGCAUCCAAAACUGGCAAGCUAGAGUACGGUAGAGGGUGGUGGAAUUUCCUGUGUAGCGGUGAAAUGCGUAGAUAUAGGAAGGAACACCAGUGGCGAAGGCGACCACCUGGACUGAUACUGACACUGAGGUGCGAAAGCGUGGGGAGCAAACA